CCCCAACUUAACAGUAUACACUAGGGUAAAGUGUGCAUAUGUACAGAAGGGGAAACAGCUUUGCAAAAGUGCGUGUCUUAGGCAAAACGGCAUAAGAAAAUGUGUAUUAUGAGAAAUUUGCAAUAAAAUGCUGGUGAAAUUUCAUGGGGAUUUUUUUUUUUUAAGACCAUUUGCAAACUGAUGCGGAAAUGUGGAGAACUGAUGACUGGAAAAAUCAGUAGCCAAAAUUGACAUUUUUGCCUAUCCCUACUCCAAAUUGUCACAGAGAUUCUCCCUCUCCGUUUUGUGUUUAAGCAAUGAUUGAAGCCAUUUUUAUUUGGACAGGCUUUUAAUGUUUAACUUUUCUGCUCUUUUAGGAAUUUUCUGGCGACUGCCGUUCAGUUUUAUGAUCAGAGCAUGAGCUGCCAUCCUACUGCAGGGCCUCGGGUGUUUACAGGAGUCACCACUUGAAGAGAUGCCCUAGACAUAGGGGACUUUGUUCUGCAGACGAUACGUUUUAUUUAGCUAUCAUGAGGACAGGACAGUCCUAACCUUCACCUGAUGCACUUUAGUCAGUGGAAUCAGGGUCCAGCUGACGCAUUUUGACCUGGUAAUGGCAAAAACCUUGCUUACAGGGCAGUGGCCUCUGUAAUGUGUAAUUCUGGUGCCAACAGAAAAACAGCCUGUAUUUCUAACCCCUAUCUAGAUAUGCAGAGGCGGGGAAUUUCUACCUGAACUGAAUGCUAGGUCAACAUUAUCUGUGUGUCCCCCAGUUGGAUUUUUCCCAUUCCUGUGCCUAGAAAACUCCACCAUUGCCACCUGACCCAGCCAACUUCAGCUCAAGCAAAAGGAGCACUCUGGACACAGGGCUAAAGUCCAUUCCCAUCAUGCCUGUUUGUUUUCAUAGCUGCAGGACAUGGCAGACUGUUUGCGCUAAGCCCAGCCAAGGCCGCGGUUCCUGAACAUUUUGGCCUUCGGUGACAGCACUGCAUCUGUGGCAGUCCGCCAUGGUGGCCUUGUAUCAGGAAAAGCAGAGCGAGACCUGUGUUUGUGCUGUGGUAACUCAUAGGCUGAGCAAUGGCUAUGACUACUUCUACAGCCUUGUUUUCCUGCAGCACAGGUGAGAGGCAUGCAGGGCAAACUAAGACAAUAAUAAAUCUCAUUAGGUGAAAUAGAGCUUCUAAGUAAUAGGAUUGGUGAGCAGCAGCAAACUUUCCUAAGGGAAGGAACGUAAGAGUUCUACUGGAUGUUGUUCUCAGUGGCCAACCAAAAGGCUAUGUAAGUGCACAAUUGAUUUGAGUACGACAGCACUCUCCUCACUCAUGUUCCCCAGUAACUGGUACACAGAGGGAUUCUACGCUGACCUGAAUGUAAUACUGUUAUGAGUUGUCGGUGCAAGACACCUUAAGUUCCGAAUCAAGCUAGUGUUAGAAUUUAAUUAAGGCCUGUGUGUUAAAACUGUGUGUCAGACUCCCACAUUUUAGAAUCUAAUCAAGACCUGUGUGUAUUGGGCUGUGUAUCAAGAUACCUCUUUAAUCAUGGGGAAUCAACAAGUGUUACAAGCUAAUUUAGUCAGGCUUAUUACCUUUUGAGGUGAUAGUUUGGGCAACACAAAGGAUCAAGGGCAAAUCGCAUGUGCUAAUGAGUUGGCUCCCUCCCUCCCUCAACUGAGAGUUAGUUUAAAAGACAAUGCCAGUGUUAGGUUAGUGUUUAGGAUUGUAGUUAUGAGUUAAGCAACACCGAUAGUAAGCAGUGGGCUGGAGAGGGAGUCUGGGAGCAAUGAUUGGGGUCUGCUUUAGUCUGAGGCUGCUGUGGCUAUGGGAGAAGCCAGAACCUCUUGGGGUGUGAAUGCUGUGAACUCCUCCAUCGUAGGCUCAGGCUGUAUAUAUGUGUAAAUAAACCAUAUAUCAUAAAGACA